rnacentral:lncRNA from 1 species
GUGGACAUGGAAAGACCAGGUUUUACAAGCAUGGAAAACAAGUUCUCCAGGAAACCUUUUCUGGGUCAUUGUACCUAUUAGAUCGAGAAAACUGUAUCAUGUGAAAUAAAUAACACUAGCAGAAAUAAACCAUCUAUGGAUGAGACAGUAUUAUGACAUAGACGUCUUUUGCACAUGAGUAUGAAGAAGGACGGUUGGAGUUUUGGAGUUUGGAGUUUUGGAGGACGGUUAGAGUUUUGGAGUUCUGUGAGAGUUUCGGGAAGCAUGAUACUUGUGAAGCUCUCAGGUAUGGACAUGUUGUUUUAUGUGAUGGAUCUCUAAAUGUAACUUCAAGUCUGGUGUGUAAGGUACCCUCAAGGUGAACAUGCGAAUGGUGCUAUGUGGUCUUUGUGUCGAAAAUCUUCUUAACAAAUGUGGAGUUAAGCGGCUUGUUAUGUUGGUACAAACGGCGGUGCAAGAUGGGUGUCAGGUUUCGCUCGAAGGUUGAAGAAUAACUGGUUUAUGUGGUACUUGGUUUAGGAGGGUGGUUAUAAGAAGUGUAUCCACACACACACACACACACAUAUAUAUAUAUAUAUAUAUAUAUAUAUAUAUAUAUUAUCGAUGAUUACACUACGUCAGGACCAUAAGUUGAGACUUUAGGCAUAACUGUUGACAUGAAAGCUGAUAUAGC